AUUGAACGCUGGCGGCAGGCCUAACACAUGCAAGUCGAGCGGAGCGGCGGAAGGGUGAUUAAUGCCUAGGAAUCUGCCUGGUAGUGGGGGAUACAGUCCGGAAACGGGCGCUAAUACCGCAUACUAUCAGAUGAGCCUAGGUCGGAUUGGCUAGUUGGUGGGGUAAAGGCCUACCAAGGCGACGAUCCGUAACUGGUCUGAGAGGAUGAUCAGUCAAACUGGAACUGAAACACGGGCCAGGCUCCUACGGGAGGCAGCAGUGGGGAAUAUUGGACAAUGGGCGAAAGCCUGAUCCAGCCAUGCCGGGGGUGUGAAAAAGGUCUUCGGAUUUUAAAGCCUUUUUAGUUGGGAGGCGUUACCAACAGAAUAAGCACCGGCUAACUUCGUGGCAGCAGCCGCGGUAAUAC
rnacentral:rRNA from 1 species